rnacentral:rRNA from 1 species
AUUGAACGCUGGCUGCAGGCCUAACACAUGAACAUCGAGCGGAGUGGCGGACGGGUGAGUAAUGCCUAGGAAUCUGCCUGGUAGUGGGGGAUAACGUCCGGAAACGGGCCCUAAUACCGCAUCCUAUCAGAUGCGCCUAGGUCGGAUUAGCUAGUUGGUGGGGUAAGGGCCUAACAGGGCGACGAUCCGUACCUGGGCUGAGAGGAUGAUCAGUCACACUGGAACUGAGACACGGUCCAGACUCCUACGGGAGGCAGCAGUGGGGAAUAUUGGACAAUGGGCGAAAGCCUGAUCCAGCCAUGCCGCGUGUGUGAAGAAGGUCUUCGGAUUGUAAAGCACUUUAAGUUGGGAGGCGUUACCAACAGAAUAAGCACCGGCUAACUUCGUGCCAGCAGCCGCGGUAAUUC